GACGAACGCUGGCGGCGUGCUUAACACAUGCAAGUCGAGCGGUAAGGCCCUUUCGGGGGUACACGAGCGGCGAACGGGUGAGUAACACGUGGGUGACCUGCCCUCAGCUCUGGGAUAAGCCUGGGAAACCGGGUCUAAUGCCGGAUAUGACUCCAUGACGCAUGUUGUGGGGUGGAAAGCCUUGUGCGGCUGAGGAUGGGCCCGCGGCCUAUCAGCUUGUUGGUGGGGNGAUGGCCUACCAAGGCGACGACGGGUAGCCGGCCUGAGAGGGCGACCGGCCACACUGGGACUGAGACAC
rnacentral:rRNA from 1 species